GAAAAUAAAAAUGGCCCAGUGGUAGAGCAUCCGCUUAACAUGCACAUGAUCUCAGGUUCAAUCCCUGGCAUCUCCA
rnacentral:tRNA from 1 species